CAGUAGCCGCGGGAAUACGUAGGUGGCGAGCGUUGUCCGGAAUUAUUGGGCGUAAAGGGCUCGCAGGCGGUUUCUUAAGUCUGAUGUGAAAGCCCCCGGCUCAACCGGGGAGGGUCAUUGGAAACUGGGAAACUUGAGUGCAGAAGAGGAGAGUGGAAUUCCACGUGUAGCGGUGAAAUGCGUAGAGAUGUGGAGGAACACCAGUGGCGAAGGCGACUCUCUGGUCUGUAACUGACGCUGAGGAGCGAAAGCGUGGGGAGCAAACAGGAUUAGAUACCCCCGUAGUCCCUGUCUCUUAUAC
rnacentral:rRNA from 1 species